UCCAGAAACGUUCACGUGAAUAGACCUUUACGUCUACAUUCAUUUCUCUCCACAGCAUGACGUUGCUCAUAAAAAACCAAUUUUUUUAUUACAAUCACGGAUUAAGAGCCUCUAUUGACACAUAGAUAAUCCUCCCCUUUUUUUUCUUUCUUCUUCUAUACAACUCCAAAAGUCUCUCUCAUUCUGUCUCUCGCCAGUAAUCGAAUCAUAAUCAAACUCCCCUUCCUCUCCGCCCUACGACUCAACACUAAAGCACGCUGACUGUGCGUGAUGAAGAGUGUAUGCGUGUACGGUGACCGUGGGUGACGAGCUCGCGCGCAGAAAUCCGGUCUUUCGCCCAUCUCGCAUUCAUGACCGUUGAAUUUUGAUAAACAAACGAGAAUGGGUGUUGGCCUUAAACCGCUGGAAUUUACGGAUUGUUUAACCGACAGUCCGUACUUCCGCGAGAAUCUCCACUAUCACGAGCGAGAAUUGGAGAAGACCAGUCAGCAGAUUAAACGGCUCGUCAAAGAGGUCAAAGAUUUAUUGCUAGCCGCCAGGAACUUGUCUCGGGCUCAGAGAGCUUUUUCCAAAACAUUGCAAAACUUCAGUUUUGAAUGCAUCGGUGAAAGUCAGACUGAGGAUGAGACUCAUAUAUCUCAGAGCUUGAAAGAAUUUGGUAAACUUAUUGCAUCCAUAGAAGAUGAAAGGGAUCGCAUGUUGGAACGAGCAUUUGACCAGAUAAUAUUACCCUUAGAAAAUUUUAGAAAAGAACAUAUCGGUGGAGUUAAGGACGGUAAAAAGAAGUUCGAGAAGCAGACAAUUAAAUUUUGUCAAAGUCAAGAGCGUUAUUUGAACUUAUCUACGAAAAAACAAGAUAAUGUUUUGCAAGAGGCUGAUGCAACAUUGGAAAUGGCUGAAAGACACUUCUCUCAAGCUAGCUUAGAAUAUGUAUUUUUACUGCAAGAAGUUCAAGAGCGGAAAAAGUUUGAAUUUGUUGAAACGUUAUUGGGGUUUAUGUUCGGAUGGCUAACAUUUUAUCAUCAAGGUCAUGAAGUUGCGAAAGAUUUCAAACCUUAUAUGACAGAGCUGCAGUUGAAGAUUCAGAAGACUAGAGAGAAUUUCCUUGCUACCCGGGAUAAAACUGAAUCACUUAUGAAUAAAAUGAAGGACAUGAAAAAGUCUGCUGUAGAAAGUGGUCUCAAUAAAUUGCACUCGCGUGAAGGAUAUCUAUUCUUAAUGGAAAAAAAAGCAUUUGGUACAACAUGGACAAAACAAUAUUGCACAUAUCAAAAAGAUAGGAAGGAAUUUACUAUGAUACCUUACAAUCAACUCACAGGAAAAUUUAGCAGCAAGGAAACCUUUACACUAGCCUCUUGCGUACGACGUACAUCGGACACUAUUGAAAAAAGAUUUUGCUUUGAUAUUACUGCCGUCGAUAGACUUAACGUGGUAUACACAUUCCAAGCACUUUCUGAGGAGGAUAGGAAAUUAUGGAUGGAUGCUAUGGAUGGAAAGGAACCUUCUUAUCCACGAUUAGGUUCUUCCGCGAGACCAGAAGAUAUGACGUUAGCUGAAACCGGUUUUACAUUCGUAUCGAAGUGCAUCGCGGCGCUCGAAGAUAGAGGAUUAGAAGAACAAGGUCUAUAUAGAGUAGUUGGAGUUGCCUCCAAAGUGAACAAACUCUUGACCAUGGGUUUGGAUAAGCGAAAAGCGGACAAGCUCAAUUUAAGCGAUCGUUUCGAGUGGGAGAGUAAAACUAUUACCAGUGCGCUCAAGACUUACCUGAGAACAUUGUCCGAGCCGUUAAUGACCUUCCGAUAUUACAACAGCUUCAUUACAGCUGCGAAACAGGAGAUGAAGGAAACUCGGAUAAAUGAUAUACAUAGCCUCGUUUAUCGAUUGCCCAAAGCCAAUUUCAAUAUGCUGAUCCUUCUUAUUACUCAUCUUUGCACUGUGGCAAAGAAAAGCGAUAAAAACCUGAUGACUGUGGGAAAUCUGGCGGUAUGUUUCGGUCCAACUUUAUUACGACCAGAGGAGGAAACUGUAGCUUCUAUAAUGGACAUUAAAUUUUACAAUAUUGUUGUGGAAAUAUUGAUCGAGAAUUGUGAAAGAAUAGUAGCUGGACCACCCCAAGAUUCUUUGCGCGUAGCGGCAACGCAGCCUGCGUUACAAGCUAUUGCUGUACCAAAUAAAACGCAAUGUGUCAAGGAAGAAGGUCCAACCUCGUCGGGUAAUGGAAUGGCAUUUUUAAGAUAUCCAUUGCACACGGCAGUAACGGUUGCACCCACAUCGUCGCAUACGCACCUCGUUACAAGAUCUUAUUAUGAUGGCCAGCCUUUGACCGUUGUUAACAAGUCGCCCACUGUCGACGAGAGGAACAAUGGGGAUUAUGAAGAUCUCGAUAGUACGACCCAUCGUAUACCAUCGUAUUUGGACAGUCGCGGCGGUAACACCAGCAGCAGUCGCAUGAAAUUGACUAACGCGAACCUUAUGUAUCAUUCAGCUGACUAAAGUUCUAAGUGGUGGCAAUACGAGUAGCUCAAGCGAGUCAAUUGCAUCGGAUCCUCAUUCUUUUACAAGUGAGUUACCAGUGAAGCAUAAACGUGGCACAAUGAUAUCCGUGCACUAUCCUACAGCUUAUCCUCAGCGUAGUAACUCAUCGAUAUGUCCUAUCAACACUUCCCCCAAUAGUGGACGUUCGAGUCCUGGUCAAAUUCCAGGAAUUUGGAGAGUACGAACUUUAUACGCAUGCAUGGCGGAAAAUGAUGGCGAAUUAUCAUUUGAACCAAAUCAAAUUAUCACAAAUGUUAAGGCCUCUUUGGAACCAGGUUGGUUAGAAGGUACAUUAAACGGCAAAACAGGUUUAGUUCCGAAGAAUUAUGUGGAGCAACUGCCCUAAAUACUGCAACAAAAGAAAAAAACCAAAGAGCGUCGAAGAAAAUAUAGGUAAUUUUAUCA